CUUCCGUAGGGUGAACCUGCGGAGGGAUCAUUACUGAGUUACCGCUCUAUAACCCUUUGUGAACAUACCUACAACUGUUGCUUCGGCGGGUAGGCCGUCCCCUGAAAAGGACGCCUCCCGGCCCGGACCGGUCUCCCUGCGGGGCCGGGCUUGGCGCCCGCCGGAGGAUAACCAAACUCUAUUUUAACGACGUUUCUUCUGAGUGGCAUAAGCAAAAUAAUCAAAACUUUUAACAACGGAUCUCUUGGUUCUGGCAUCGAUGAAGAACGCAGCGAAAUGCGAUAAGUAAUGUGAAUUGCAGAAUUCAGUGAAUCAUCGAAUCUUUGAACGCACAUUGCGCCCGCCAGCAUUCUGGCGGGCAUGCCUGUUCGAGCGUCAUUUCAACCCUCAAGCUCUGCUUGGUGUUGGGGCUCUACGGUUGACGUAGGCCCUCAAAGGUAGUGGCGGACCCUCCCGGAGCCUCCUUUGCGUAGUAACAUUUCGUCUCGCACUGGGAUCCGGAGGGACUCUUGCCGUAAAACCCCCCAAUUUUUCAAGGUUGACCUCGGAUCAGGUAGGAAUACCCGCUGAACUUAAGCAUAUCAAUAAGCGGA
rnacentral:rRNA from 1 species